rnacentral:rRNA from 1 species
AAUGAACGUUGGCGGCAUGGAUUAGGCAUGCAAGUCGAGCGAGAAGAGUUUUGAAGCUUGCUUUAGAACUCGGAAAGCGGCGAAAGGGAGAGUAACGAGUAGUUAUCUACCCCAAGGCCCGGAAUAGCUGCGGGAAACUGCAGGUAAUGCCGGAUAAUAUCCCCGGAUCAAAGGUGUGAUUCCGCCUUGGGAGGAGACUGCUUUGUACUAGCUUGUUGGUAGGGUAAUGGCCUACCAAGGCUACGAUGCAUAGCGGGCGUGAGAGCGUGGCCCGUCUCACUGGGCCUGAAACACUGCCCAGACACCGACGGGUGGCUGCAGUCGAGAAUCUUCGGCAAGGGGCGAAAGCCUGACCGAGCAAUGCCGCGUGCGGGAUGAAGGCCUUCGGGUUGUAAACCGCUGUCGUAGAGGAGAAAGGUCUGAUGAAGAAUCAGAUUUGAUCUAUCCUAGGAGGAAGUACGGGCUAAGUUCGUG